AACGAACGCUGGCGGCAGGCCUAACACAUGCAAGUCGAGCGGACCCUUCGGGGUUAGCGGCGGACGGGUGAGUAACGCGUGGGAACGUGCCCUUUGCUUCGGAAUAGCCCUGGGAAACUGGGAGUAAUACCAGAUACGCCCUUUUGGGGAAAGAUUUAUCGGCGAAGGAUCGGCCCGCGUUGGAUUAGGUAGUUGGUGGGGUAAUGGCCUACCAAGCCGACGAUCCAUAGCUGGUUUGAGAGGAUGAUCAGCCACACUGGGACUGAGACACGGCCCAGACUCCUACGGGAGGCAGCAGUGGGGAAUCUUAGACAAUGGGGGAAACCCUGAUCUAGCCAUGCCGCGUGAGCGAUGAAGGCCUUAGGGUUGUAAAGCUCUUUCACCGGGGAAGAUAAUGACGGUACCCGGAGAAGAAGCCCCGGCUAACUCCGUG
rnacentral:rRNA from 1 species